rnacentral:lncRNA from 1 species
UUUGUUGAGCUUAAUUUAUAACAUGUAUGAUGUACGUACCUUGCGGAGUGAUCCAUACUGGGCACUGAGUUUGAGAAGCCAGAGGGCUGGGAAGUCAAGGCUGGUGGCGGUUGUGAUGCUACCAGCUUGAGGGUUGUAGAUGUCAGGUGAUGAAUUCUGACCAAUGUUUUGGCGAAGUCUCAUUGUGCAAAUGGUCUCAUCAAUGCCAUUUCUGCUCCUUUUGCUUUGGCGUUGGCAACCUUUGUCUGUCUCCACGCACUGUGGCUGCUCUUCCUCAUCAUCAUCAUCUUCUUCUUGCUGUGGCUUCCUCAUGGCUGGAGCUGUGACUCUUAGACCUCCUUUCACUGUCACAAUGGCUCCACUAUCCUCCUCUUCGUUCUCACCUUGUAGGUUUCUCACUAUCUGCAUGUUCACGCCGAACGCUUCUUUCAAGAAUUCAGGGGCGAAGCCACUCAAUAUGUUGCUUCCUUCGUUUUCUUCUUCUUGUUGCUUUCCUUUCUGGCUUUGGGAACCUCCUUGCUGCUGCUGCUGAUAUUUUAGAAACUCUUGCUCUUGGUUCCCAGCAAGAUAGAAUCUCUGCCAAGAAUUGUCAAAACAAAUAGUUGUCAAUCCGUAACCAGCUAGUAUUAGAACUUAAGAAUUCUAAUCUUAACGUUACAAUGUAGUCCAGUUUCCUUUUUUUAUCAGCUACAAUAUUGUCCAUGUAUUUCAAGACAAGAACCAAAUUGGAUAAAAAAACACAACUAUAAGGAUCCAAUUGGCAUAUUUUAAUCUAUAGGUACUAAAUUAGAAAGUGCAACUCCACGAACUAAAAUGAUAUUUAAACCUUUAAAGAAUUAUAAUAUCUAAUAUUGCUAUGUGGCUCACCCUAGGCAUCUGGUCGAGCUGGUUCUCCAAGCUGUUGGUGUCAAUAAUAGAAACGGCAACAACAGGAGUGUCUUCAUUGUUGUACAUCCACCAUGCAACACCAGUAGGCACUGCGAUCAAAUCACCCUCUCUGAAGCGAUGUACCUUUUGGUGACGGUCUUGGGGCCUCUGGCUUCGUCCUCGUUGCUGAGAUUCUUGCGGCUCUUGAUAAGUGCUAGGACAACCCGGGAAUAUCAUGCCAAAAAUACCAUUACCUAUUCAUAUAUAUUACACAACAACACAAAGAAAAAAAAAACAUUAGCAUAACCAUUUUCUUUUCAAAAUGCAUGGUUUCACAAAACUGAGAAAUUGAAACAAGUUAUUAUUAAUUUGAAUAUAUAAGAUAGGUUGGACGGUUAAGAAGAAAAACAAAAGCCACAGUUUCAAUCAAUUUUACUAACAAAAACUAACCAUUAACAUCUGAUAAAAAAAAAAUUAAACAAGAUUAUGGACCUUGUUGUAUGUAGAUUUCCUGGGGACCGUUGGUGUAGGAAGGUCUACGAAGGGCAUUGCGGUUAAGGGUGCAGCGAGAGAGGGCAACACCGGCACACUGGAAUGGCUUGUUGUUAGGGUUCCAGGUCUCAAUGAACCCACCUUCCGACUCUAUACGGUUAUCCGGUUUGAGGGCAUUCAGCUUUUGGAUCUGGCACUCAUUUUGCUGUGCCUGCUCUCUCAGAGCGAAGCAGCCACUGAAAAGAAGGAAACAAAGGGAAAGAACAAGCUUGGCCAUGGUGAUGAGUGUUCAAAGACAAUGGAGAGAAUGUUUGUGUUGUGAAGCGGAGAACCUGAGGCGUGGUUAUUUAUAGGGAAGAGAGGAAGGUGGGUGAGGGACACGUCACAGGAGUGGGGUGCUGAGCUUGAGACAUUCUUCAGUAUGCAUGGCUAUGGAAGCCUUGUGUGUUACACCUCAUUAAGUUCAUGGGUGUGAGGUGGCUUCGACAGUUCGACAUCAACAUUAUGUGACAAAUACCAAGUGUGUUUGUAUUGCAUGCAAUUGCCAGAAAACGGUGGUGGAGAGGGGGACCAUGGUUUCAUUUCAUGUUCGCGGGUUUAUGACAUAUGAAAUUAUAUGAAUACACCGUGUGACAAUGAUGGGAUCCUCAAAGUGAGAAGAAGGGCCGUCCAAAAAUGACCUCACUCUAGGGAUAGAGAAAUUAUUAGGUGUUAUGAAAUUAUCACUAUUCAUGGUUUUGACAGAUCUUUAUGUGAUACUAGUUACUCAAUUUUUUUUAAUUUAAUUAGGAAAUAAUUAAUCAUACUUUAAUUUACAUAUCAUAAAGAUUAGUGGAGAAUAAUUUGUACUGUAUAUAUAAUAAUUUCUUGGAUAGAGAAAUUAUAUAUUAGGGACAUUUUGUUUUUUGGAUUAUCCUCGUUUUGAUUGUCAAUAUAAAAAAAAAGUAAGCGAAAAUAAGAAGAAAAUGACUAAGUUUUAAACAAUUAUAUUAGUUAAACAAAAAUACUUAUAUGUUUUAGGUCUAUAAUAAAUAUGAUUAAUUUUAUUUUGAGUUCUAAUUUUAAUUUUUUUUUCUUUGUAUUGGAUUCUUAUAUCUUAAAAAAUUUAUUUUGACUCUUUAUCAUAGGUAGGUUAGUAAUGACAUAUCAAUCAAUUAACAAAUUACAAAGUCAGAGUUUAAAAACUGUGGGUAUUUCUGAUAGAAAAUAAUCUGGAUUGUCUCUAACUCAUUAGCCUCUCGAUUUUGUCAGGUUCGGGCUUAGUGAAUGCAACGGAUUCUUGGGUGUGUUCCAAUCUGCGUUGUGGCUUGGUUUCUUUUGCGGCCUCAAACACUUUCUUCUUCUCCGGAGGAAGUUUUUUAAACCCUCAUCCGAAUAAAGUAACCCCAUGUAAGCAAUUUUUAAACCCGUAUAGUCCGAAUAAACAAUUUGAAACCGCCCGAUUGUGUCUUUUUAUUUAUUCCUUUAGUGUGGGUUUGGUUCGAGCUUCUCUCGGGUUUAUGCUCAGCCCUAGCUACUACCAUUAUUCAUUUAAAAAAUAAGUUACAAUUUGUGACAGUUUGAAAGCUGUCAGAAUCAAUUAAAACAAAAAAAAUUAAAAAAUUAAAUGUAUUUUGAUCCUCCUAUUUUAUCAAAUCCAUAAAUUUGGUUUUUUAGUUUUAAGAUUUUAAAAUUGAGACCGUUAAUUCCUCUCUUUUCUAAAAUCAGGAAAUUAAAUUUUUCUGUCAAAUUAGUUGUGUUGACCAAAUGUUGACUGUUAAAAUUUUCUUUCUUCUUUUUCCUUUUGCUUUCACAUAAACCUCAGUCUUAUUUGUUCAAGGAAUUAUGCACAUUUUGUGCCCACUGUCCAUGGCUGCCAAAAGUUUCUUGGUUAUUCGAGUCAAUUAAUGCAACAAUCUGGAUAGAUUAAUUGUAGUUCUAUGCAAUGAUUAAGAACUAUCAAAGCAUUAAGAACUUGUAGCUCCUCACACACGAGAAAUAAGAAAUGGACAAGAAUGAGAAUGAGGACUCGAGCCUAAAAUUUAAGGCCAUGGACACCAAAUAUACGGGAAUGAUUGCACAUUUUGCAGGAAAUAAGUAGUGAGCCACAAACAUAAUUCCAUUUAUUCAAAGAAUAGUUAAGUUAUCAUCUUUAUAUAUUUUAAACACUUAAAUUAGCACCUUUACAUUAAAAGAACGCACACUAAUAUUAUUAAAAAAAGUAUUCAUCAUUUUGUAGGCCAACUUAAAAUAUAAUAUAUUAUAUAUAUAUAUAUAUAUAUAUAUAUAUAUAUAUAUAUAUAUAUAUAUAUAUAUAUAAUAUUAAAAUACUUAAUGUUUCUCACCUUUUUUAUGUUUGUUAUCAUAUAAAAAAACAUAGAUGAAUUUUAAAAAGUAAAUUAUUUACCAUCAAUUUAUAUAUUUGUUAAGCUACACAUAUUUUUUUAUUAGAGUUCUUUUUUUGUGUGUGUAAAAAUAUAUGUGAUGUCCUGUCAUUCUAUGUUUUACACAUUAGCUAUGCGAGAGUGUCUGUGCUCAUAUUGUGUCUGAUGUCCAUGUCGAAUUUCAAGCUUCAAAAUAUCAACUAACUAACUUGUGAGUCAAAUUACCGAUUGGGGGUAAUUUUUUUUAAAAUUUAUCAUUUGAGGAUAGAUUUUAAAUUAAUAUUCGUUUAAGGUUUAUGAAUUGAAAGUCAUGAAAAUGAAAUUAAUAUUUCUUGAAACCAAUAUCUAUUUAGUGUGGACAAUGGACAUCAAGACAUCAUAUGCAACACCAUCCUUGACUCUGUUGAAAAUUAAAAUCCCAGAAAAACACAUUUUUUAGCUCCCAUGUUAAAUUUGGAGCGAUGUUUUAUGUUUGAAGACACAAAGCACAAUGGUCCAAAUACUCUCGAACUUUCCAAGUUGGGUUGAGCUCCAAGUCAUGAAGAACCUGAUAAGACGUCUUCAUUCUUAAAGUUAAUCUUCAACUAUUGGGUCUGCAAUACUUUCAAUUUUAGUCUUCUACAUCAUGUCCUGUCCUGCCAACACUUCCUAAAGAUAUCAUCGAUCAAGCUAACUAUCAUUGGACCAAUCGUUAUUGUUUGCCUUUUGUUUUGCAAGAAGCUCAGAAGAAAGAAAAAAAAAAGAGAGAGAGAGAGAGACAAAAGAAGAUUUGACAGAAAACUCAUUGGAAUUUCUCCUUUUAUUCCCGCAAAAGUUUCGUGACUCAUUAUAGAGAGUACUUACAUUAUUAUUUUACAGUGAACAAAAGGCAAGCUAAAGCCUUUGUUUUCUUAUUCAUUAUUAUUAUUAUUAUUUAUUGGUUGCUAGCACUAUUGCCAAAAAGACAAAAGUGGGGUAGCACAUACAAAAAGGGCUCUAAGCCACAGCUCUCUUCUGAGACUCCUGAGGUGGAACCAGGAACUUGAAAGGGUUGUUGUUCUUUAUCUGCCUGGCCUGCUGGCUUUUUAGGUUGAAAGUGUGCUGAAUCACUUCCUCUGGUAAUGCGUUCAACAAUGAGUUUGCCCCUGCAAGAGUGCCGAUCAUGGGUGUAUCAUUGGUCUUGAAUGACACAUACUCGAAGUUGUCACUCUGUGAUCUUGCAGCCACCACAAAGUUUUGUGGCACGAUCAGCACCCGUCCCUCUUGCAGCUCUCCAUCAAACACUCUCUCACCGUUGCAAUUCACCACUUGUAUCAAUGCCCGUCCAUUCAAUGCGUAUAUUAUGCUGUUCGCGUUCAGGUUGUAGUGUGGCACGAACAUUGCAUUCUGCAUCGUACAUCAAUGCAUGCAAGAGUCACAACAAAUUCAUCCAAUAUUUUUAUAAUAAUACUAUUUUUUGUUUUGCUUUUUUCAUCAAUCUUUUCUUUUUUUUUCUCUCUAUUUCUAUAUAUAAAGACAGAAAAGAUAGAAUCCAUGCAAGUGUUAAGAUAACUCCGUCACACAUUUUAUAGUGUAUCUAAGAUUAUUAUUAAUCAAUAAAUCAUUAGUCUAAGUAUAAAUAAUGUAAUUAAGAUGAAAGACUCCAUUAAAAGUGAUCAAACAAAUUUUCUAAAAAAAUUAAUUAUCAAUAAAAUUAAUAAAUAUUUGGCAACAAAUAUUAGUUUAAUGUAUAAAUGUAUGUUGAUCUUUGAUGAAUGAUGUACGUACCUUGCGGAGAGAUCCAAACUCAGCACUGAGUCUGAGCCACGAGAGGGCUGGGAAGUCAAGGCUGGUGGCGGUUGUGACGCUACCGGCUUGAGGGUUGUAGAUGUCAGGUGAUGAAGUCUGGCCAAUGUUGUGGCGAAGUCUCAUGGUGCAUAUGGUCUCGUCAAUGCCAUUUCUUCUGCUUUUGCUUUGGCUUCCUCGGGGGCGUUGGCAGUGUUUGUCUUUACCCUUGCACUGUGGCUUCUCAUCCUCUUCUUCUUCUUCCUCUUCCUGGGGUCUUUGUUGCUGCUCGUCCGUGGGUGGUUUUAUCACGCUCAGACCUCCUUUCACUGUCACAAUGGCUCCCUUGUCUUCCCCUUCGUUCUCUCCUUGUAGGUUUUUCGCUAUCUGCUUGUCCACGCUGAAUGCAUGUUCCAAGAAUUCCAGGGUGAAGCCACUCAAUAUGCUGCCUCCUUCGUUUUCUUCUUCUUGCUGAUGCUUUCCUUUCUGGCUUUGAUGACCUCCUUGCUCUUGCUGAUAUUUUAGAAACUCUUGCUCUUGGUUCCCAGCAAGAUAGAAUCUCUGCCAAGAAUUGUCAAAACAAAUAGUUGUCAAUCUGUAACCAGCUAGUAUUAGAACUUAAGAAUUCUAAUCUUAACGUUACAAUGUAGUCCAGUUUCCUUUUUUUAUCAGCUACAAUAUUGUCCAUUUAUUUCAAGACAAGAACCAAAUUGGAUAAAAAAACACAACUAUAAGGAUUCAAUUGGCAUAUUUUAAUCUAUAGGUACUAAAUUAGAAAGUGCAACUCCACGAACUAAAAUGAUAUUUAAACCUUUAAAGAAUUAUAAUAUCUAAUAUUGCUAUGUGGCUCACCCUAGGCAUCUGGUCGAGCUGGUUCUCCAAGCUGUUGGUGUCAAUAAUAGAAACGGCAACAACAGGAGUGUCUUCAUUGUUGUACAUCCACCAUGCAACACCAGUAGGCACUGCGAUCAAAUCACCCUCUCUGAAGUUAUAGAUCUUCUGGUGACGGUCUUGUGGUCUGCUGCUUUGUCCUCUUUGUUGAGGUUGUUGAGGCUCUUCAAAUGUGCUAGGACAACCCGGGUAUAUCAUGCCAAAAAUACCCUUACCUAUUCAUAUUACAAAACAACAAACAAACAAAAAUUAGGAACCCAACAUUAUCAAUGAUAUGAUUAUGUUACGUCAUAUGGAAGAAAUCAAAACAAAAAUUUUAAUAUAUAAAAACUCAAAACAAAAAAAAUUAUUAAAAAUCUAAAAUAAAAUUCCCUCAUUUAUCAAACCCUUAAACAUAUUUAAGUCUAUUAUAUAUUUAUAUGUGAAGUUUGGACAAGAUGGACCUUGUUGGAUGUAGAUUUCCUGGGGACCGUUGGUGUAGGAAGGUCUACGAAGGGCGUUGCGGUUGAGGGUGCAGCGAGAGAGGGCAACACCGGCACACUGGAAUGGCUUGUUGUUAGGGUUCCAUGUCUCAAUGAGCCCUCCUUCUGACUCUAUACGGUUAUCCGGUUUGAGGGCAUUGAGUUUUUGGAUCUGGCACUCGUUUUGCUGAGGCUGCUCUCUGGAACUGAAAGCGAAGCAGCAGCCACUGAAAAGCAGAAAACAAAGGGAAAAAACUAGCUUGGCCAUGGUGAUGACUGAUGAGUGUUUAAGGACCAAUGGAGAGAAUGUUUGAGUUGUGAAGCGGAGAACCUGAGGCGUGGUUAUUUAUAGGGAAGAGAGGAAGGUGAAUGAGGGACACGUCACAGAAGUAGGGUGCUGAGCUUGAGACAUUCUUCAGUAUGCAUGGCUAUGGAAGCCUUGGGUGCUACACCUCAUGAAGUUCAUGGUGUGAGGUGGCUUCGGCAUCUCAAUUAAGUGACAAAGAGAAAGGUGUUUCAGUGUUUCUAUUGCAAAUGGCAGAAACUCGUGAUGACGAGGGGACCAUGCAUGGUUUCAUUUCUUUUCUUCCUGGAUUCUUUCUUUCCUUUUAUAUAUGCAGGUUCAUAAUUUAAAAAUUAGACUCGCUUUCAAUUUCUUAAUUUCUCAUUUUCCUCUUAUAUUACUGUACUAAUGUUAACCACGUACACUUAUUUUUUUUUUAGUUUAAUUUUGAUAGAUUGUGUUGAUUUAAACAUAUUAAUAUUUUCAACCAAAUAAAAAUCAUUUUAGUAGAUACGGCUUUUUAAAUAAUUAUUAAAAAUAUUAACUAUUUAUCCUAAAUGGCACAUUUUAAUUAAAAAAAAUCCGGUGUUGUAAGUGUUUUAUUAAUUUGUUUUGGCAUUAUUAAAGCAACUUUUUUUUUAUUUGUUGGCAUUUUGAGUACGUACUUAGGCUACCUCCUAUAUGAAAGUGAUUGAGUUGUUUUUGCUUAUUAAAUGCCAUGCUUAAUAAGAACCUUUUAUGAAAGUUUGUGGUUAUUUUGAUUAAAUUAUAUCACAAUAAUAUUUAUAAAACAGAUAAAAGUUAAUGUCGAUGAAUGUAAGAGUGUCAAGUUACUUGUGGAGUCUAUUUAAUAAAAUUUUAAAGUUGUUGGUUUUGGUGAUAAAAGUUACAUAAUGUAAAAGGUAAGAAAUAAGUUAUAUAUAUAAAGGGUGAGACUACUUAAGAUGUGAAAAAGGUUGAGAGAAAAAAAAUAGAUGUUGAGUUGGAAAAGCUCAUGAUUUACUUCUUUGAAAAUAGAAAAAUAUAUAAAUAAUUAUAAUCGGAUUGAUGAUUAUUUAAAUAAAAUCUAAAAAUUGUGUUUGUGUUUUAUAAGAGAGAAUUCAAAUCCUCAAAGUACUUAUAAGCAUACAGCUACUUUUUCUUUCCUGUCAAUACUUUUUUUUUCUAUUCUUCUGUUUUUUAGUUCUUAUAUAUUAGUUUCUUCUCUCUAUAAAAUAAGGUGGAACUAGAUUGAUGUUUUUUCUAAAUCCCUAAACUUUUUUUCUUUCCUAUUUUGACGAGGUUUGUAAUUUUUGAAUAAUUUCCUUGUUACCAUUUUAUUUAAAGUUUUUGGCUGACAUUUUUCCUUUUAAAACUUGAAGCUUGUGUUGUUGAACCACUUUUAAAAAGAAGAAAAAUUAAUUACAGGUUUUAAGUGUUGUUUGUAUUGUUCUCCAAUUAAAAUUGGAGUUUAAUUUAAUCUACAUAUUUUUUUUUAGUACAAAUCUUGAGAUAAAUUUCAAUUCUAAUAACAGAACAUGACAAACAGCAUGUUAAGAACUAUAUUUAAAUUUUGUCCAAUCAAAAAACCCUUUUCUUGCUUAAUGAUGGAGCUAUAUAUUGUUCUACAUAUUUCAAGUUUCUUAUUCCAUUAUAGUACUACAUUGUUUAUUGAGAGAAGAAAUAUAUAGCACUAUAUAUAUUGUUAACUAAUUAUGAGCUAAAUUUUAAAAAGUGUAGAAUAUAUAACUUGUAGUCACCCUUGCGUGGUUCAAUCUUCAUCACUCCAUGCUCUGCAACUUGAAUCAAGAAACUGGUGAUUGGUGAAUGUUCAUCACUCUAAGCCCAAUCUGACAAACCUAGCUACGUGAUAAACUCACUCCAGCACGUGCUAAGGGAAGGAAGGUACUAUCCACAUUUGCAAGGUAACCUCUAAUGUGGACCCUGCAACUGAGUUUUGUACAUUUAGGACUCGCAGAGCCGGGGUACUUGGUCAGAUAAAAUGUGAGAGUAGUUCUCCAACAGCUGCACAAAGUAAAUUAUUGCUUGCUAUGCAACUUGUAGAUUUACUUGCUAUGCAACUUGUAGAUACAAUGCAGUAAUAUUACGAUAAGAACAAGGCCAAAAUGACAAAUAAUACUCCAAUCAGUUAAUAAUGUGAAGAACGUUACCUUUUUCAGAGUCCAAUGCAUCAUCAAUAUCACCAACCAACACAGAUGCAGAUCCCACAUGAGCAUGGCUGCAUGGCUCCUGCAUGCAUCAUACCACCUGUCACUUAGAAUGCAGCAUCGUGACAGUUGAACCCACCGUUACCCAUGCAACUACUUGGAUAGCAAACAAAAUUAAUUCUACCUUAUAAAAUCAUGGUCAAACAAUGAAAAAGUAGAAGCAAUCAUUUGUUGCUUCACCUUCACCAUGAAUAUAUUCAAAACACCCUAUUAAUUCCCCCUUGACCAUUAUUCCCAACGGAUUCAGUUAUGUGUAGGAGUUAGCUUGUAAGUUGUAACUAGAAAUGUACGUGUAAACCAUCUUGUAUAUAUGCCAUACCAGUACUGAUUUCAACUGACUGAAUGAAUAUACAACUUUUCUCUCCAAAUUUGUUAAUCAUAUUCACCUAAUAUGAGAAGAGGAGAGGGCUUGUGAGGAGCCCCAUUCAGAACUUGCACACGUAACUCCUAGUUGAAAUUUUAAAGUGAAAAUGCUAUCCAAUGAGAGAGUUUUAUAUGUUCUUUUAUUGAAUGCAAAUAAUAUCUGAAGAUGAAUGGGAUCCUUCACUAUAAUUGUACAUCAAUCUGUAUUGAAAACAUGGAAACAACACACAAUAAACUAAUAAAGUGUCCAAAAUGCACAACUACUGUGUCAAAGUAUGCUAAACUCUGUAUCUAUCCCAUCAAUAUUUUAAACCUAUAUUUCAGCUUUGCAACAUCAUAAUAGCAAUUCAAAUUUCCUCCCCUAAACACAAUUUUCAUUUUCAUCACACUCAGAAGGUCUUCACCAAAAAAGGACUCUGCUUCUACAUUCAUUUGUCAAUAUAUACAAGAAAUUCUUACGUGCUUCCAAAGCUAGAAUUUUCUCUUGAUUUAUACUAUUGAAUGUGUAUCACAUCAACAAGGUGGCCAUCACUAUCUGAGUCAAAUGCAUUAGUAGUGCUAUAUCUGAUGUGGUACACGUUUAUAUUAGAAAUACAGAGUAAGCGAUUUUCCUGGCACUUGUAGCACCUGAGAAUUUCUCUAGUCAAAAUAAGAGCAAACUGGAUAUAACUGAUUUUUCUUCAGAUCCAGCCUUUCCCUAUUUAAAUUGUUCAUGGUUUCUCUUGAGCUCAUCAGAGCUAGAAAUCAGAUUUUUGGAUGCAAUGGAUUUCAUCACCCAAUAACAACAUAAAAUUGAUCAAUUAAACCAUUAUAAGAGCCAUGAUUCUUGAAUUUCUGAUACGAAACGCUACACUACAUACUACUGCUAAGGAACUAAGAAGGAAACUAAUGGAGAUAAUUGUUCUGAUUGAUUCUUCAUUCCACUUUAUUUACAUAUUUAUACUAAUAUGCUAAUAGAAUGCAAUUUGUUGUAACAGAAUUAUCACCAUCAACGAUUCUUCAUUCCACUUUAUUUACAUAUUUAUACUAAUAUGCUAAUAGAAUGCAAUUUGUUGUAACAGAAUUAUCACCAUCAACAAACUAGUGGAAUGUUGUAACUAAUUAAUGAAGAUUUCUGCAACCAUUUAGUGCCUUUGUGCAUUUUGGCGCUCAAACGAAGUCCUGUAGGUAAGUGGCUUCUGUAUUGUGACCUGUGUGGUAUUCUACUGAAUUGCUAUCAAUUUCAAUCAUACCAACCAACGUAGCAUGUGAGACGUAAAGUGUAUAUGUUUGGUUUUUUCUCUUGCCCCCAUAAGAAUUUAGAUAUAGGAUUAAUUGUUAACAAUAAAUUUGCAGUUCACUUGUGCACAUGCUGCUUCAUUAUAGGUAGCGCUAAACCUCAAGUUUCAGGUAAAAAACGUGACAUGCAAUCCUCCUUUACAACAAGCAAGUGACAAAACACAAACUAAACAAACAAAGUAGUCAUUUCUAUAUAACUUACAAAACAAAACAUUAUUAUCAUAAAUAAAACUCAAACAAGAGUCCGAUUUUCUAAUCUGUACUCCAAUGUGCGCGAUUAGUUGUCUCCACACUCUAUGCACUAACAACAGUACUAACUUCAUCCCCUUCUCGCAUUAAUAAUAUAAGGAAGCGGAUCAAAAUGUGGGAACCACUUAAUAUUAUGAGAAACUAGCAUGAUCUCACAAGGAUGUUAUCACAAUCCUCGGGAUGGAAACUCCUGCCAAUUACACAUUUGGGCAAUGUAAAUCACCCGCAUAGAAGGACUAUAGCUUAUUACAAGAUAUGAACAAAGACAAGAUAAAAUGCGAAUUAGAAGAUACAUAUGCCAACUAUGCUUUGCUCAUUCGGUAUCUCGCUUGAAACUAGAUUCAGCAUUCUUCUCCUUCGUGCCAUCAUCUACUAUUUUAGUUUCAGCAAGACCAUCCACUAUUUUAGUUUCAGCAAGAUCAUCUCUCUCGCCCUCAGUUGCAUUGACUUCAAGAGUGUUAGACUUUUGGGGAAGCUUUCGAUCCAGAUUCUGAGCAGCUUCAGAUUCUUCAUUUUCGGGUACUUCAUUGGGGUUUUGAACAGCUUUGGCAUCAUGCUUGUCAGUGUCAGCAUUUUGAGGUUGUUGUGCCCCAGAACUUUGAGCAGCAUCUAACUCCUCAUAUUUAGAAACAAUCUGCUGCAGCUCGUCAUUGAGAUAUAAAGCCUCAAAAAGUGUUGCUUCAUCGUUUGUAGUGCUUUCCACUAUCCCCUUGAUGAUAGAGAGAGAUUGCUUGCACUUAUCCAACAAGCUCACGGUUAAAUCUUCCUACAGCCACACAAAAUUAUUGCAAAUUCCAUCAUCAAACAACUAUUCUGUCAGCAAUAUAGAGAAGAAAAUAAAGGGCAAAUACUUCUUCUAUAAACACUUACAAGAAAAGAAACUACAAAACAGAGUAGAUGAACCUUCUGCCAUAAGUUAAAAUCAACUUAUGCAUCUCAACUUUUGGAUAAGUUAAAUGAGAAUUUAUUCUACAGAAGUUGGAACGCAAAAGUUGAUUUUAACUUGUCAGAGAAGUUUAAUAUAUCUUAACUUUUUAUUUUCUUCUUCUCCUACAAGUACUUAUUGAAAAGUCUGUCCGAACAAGGCCAUAUAUAGCAAUUAUCUAACAGUAGUAGAUGGAAAGCAUGGGGAAAAAAAAAAAGAGGAAAAAGAAAGACUGGAUGCAUACAAAAAAACAUCAUGAUGAAGUAGUAUACAAAACACCAAUUUAUUAUUCGGGUAAUGUUGAUUUUCUCUAACAUCAAGAUGUUUACCUUCAAAGUUUUAGGCUCUGCAUCAGAAUUCAAUAUGCUAGAGAGCAAUUCGAGACUGUUUCGAGCAACCACAAGAUGCUCUUUCCUCUCUUCAACUGAUAUGUGUUGGUAAUUAGAAGAGAAAGCUGCUGGAUCAUCAAUAUCAUGUAGUUCAGCUUGAGGAAUUGGGUAUCUUUCAGGGGCAUCUACAUAUGACUCUGAGGCAUACGGAACAUGUGGUGAAUUUCCUCCCGCCAUGUCAACCGGUUCAUCCCUUCCUUUCAAACUCUGCCAUCAAAAAGAUAGGAUGAAGGAUUCAAAUAAAUGUGAAAGAGAAGGAUGCAAGAGAAUCUAUCACAGUAAAAUGUAGAAAUAGAAGGCAUUGCAUAAAGUGCAGAAAAUAAGUGAGAACAUGAAGCCCAAUACAAUUACAUUUCAAAAUCAAUAUUCUGUACAAGAUAAAAAUCCCCAGCGUCACCUGAGAAAUGAGUAUACCCCAUUUUAAUCAAUACUCCCUGAAUAUGCUGGGCGUAUUUAUAGCAGUCCCUGAAUUAGAAAAAUAUCAAAUAAAUUCCUAAAAUUUAAAAAAUUUAUUCGACAUUUAUCUAAUUUCAAGGACUAGUACGAUAGUGUCUCACAAAUUCAGGUACUAAAAUAGGAUUUACUAUGGGAGAAAGCUUCUUCUUUUUUUUUUUUUUUUGUCCAGACCACAGGUAUCAAGACAAGAGUAACAAACAAGUAAUCCAGUUAUGGCAAUAUCCUCAAUCAGUAAAAAUAAAUAAAUAAACAGACCAUAUAAGUUUGACGAAAGACGGGAAGAUAAGCGAGAUCCUCGGACUCGCCCCAGGCCCGAAUCAACUGAAAAGCCCGGCUGCGGGUCUGGUGAUGGGCCUGCGGGUUAUCGAUGAGGCGAAUGAUCUCAUCGAGAACCUUCUCGGAAGCGAUUUCGGAGAAGACCUUGUCGCAAUUCAUGGCGCAGGCUUCGAGGAGGUCAAGGCUGAGGGUCUGAACGACGGGGCUCUUGUGAUUGAUCUUUCUCUUGAUGGCCUUAACGACCUCAGAGCCGUUGAACUGGUCGCUGUUGAUCAUGCCACAGAUUCUGAGAUUCAUGCCCCAAUUGGGUUCUUCCAUGGUCUCCAGCGUGGCCUCGUCCACCAUCUUGGACUCCGGCGUCGGCGCCUGAAGCAUCUCCUUCACUUUUCCGCUCACCAUUCGCCCCAUCUGGGCCCCACCGGUCUUCAGCCUCUCACCCAGUUGCGCCCACUUCAACCGCUCCAUCGUGUAAGGAACCCUAACUAGAUCGGGUGAAAUGUGAGGAAAGUAAAAAGCUGAGCUUUGAAGAUUAUAAAGUGAACAAGUGACGAGAGACAAGAGGGGUGUGUGUGGUGGUGUCAAUAUACUGAUCAAUUGCUUGUGACACGUUUUUUUUAUUUUAAAAAAAAAAAAAUCAAUGCCGUAGACUGGGAUUUGUUUGUGGGUGGGAUUUAAUUAAUGAUAAUAAAUUAUGCAUUUAACUCAUUUUCACGUCUUUUUCUGUCUCGCCCUAAAUAUUUUAAUCAUGAGUUGAAUUUGUCACGGUUUCAACUUAAAAAUUUUCACGUCGAAUCUAACCAAUACAAAGAUUGUGUUAGGUGUCUUCUUAAGAAGAUAUUUUUGACAAAUUGAUGUAGGGAUUAAUAUUUUAUUUAUAUAUAUAUGUCUGAUUUUUAUGUAAUCUUCUUAUAUAAGCAAGACUUAUUUUAAAAAAUAUAGGUAUUUUUGUAUUAAAUGAUUUGUCUUUUGACAUAUAAUAAAUAAAAAUUCUAAAAUAAGUUAAUAUAAUAAAGAAAUUGAGUUAUUAUGUAAUAAAAUAUGUAUUGAUGUUAGAAAUGGGACUCUUAUUAUUAUUUAAGUUUAUUUAAUUUUUUUUUAUAAAUGACUAUAAAUUAUCAAAACAGAUUUAUAAGUUUUCAAUUAUUCAUCACAUGUCCAAAAUAUUUUAUCAAAGAAAAUAUAAAUAAAAUCAAUUUAAUAUAAUGAAAUUGAUAAAUCAUUGAUCAAUUAAGUUAAAUGAACUUAAUUUUUUUAUAGCAACUUUACAUCAUUAAUAUAUGCAAUAACAUAAUGUAUAAUUAAUACAGGAUAUUAUAUAUAUGUAAAAAAAUACGUGAUGAAUUAUAUUUUGAAGUUUAAAAAAAUGAAAUUUUUUGUUGUAAUAUGUUUUUGAUAUGAAAAAUAUCUGAUUAAUUUAAAAUAAUAAAUCAUUAUUAAAGAGUACACAUAUAAAAAAUAAUAUACUAAUAAAUAUCAAAAAAGUAGAUAAGCAAUUCAUAAUAGAAAAUAGAAAAAAUAACUUCCCUUAAAUUUGAAAGACUUUUCGAUAAAUAACAUAUCAAGUCAUAUUUAAAUUAUCUCAGUUAUUAAUAAAAAUAUUUCGGUUAAUAGGUUUUCAUUAAAAAAGAUAUGAAAUAUUUUAUUAUUAACAAAAGUAUUUUCAUUAAUAGGUUUUCAUUGAUAUAUCUUCAUUACCAAAAUAAUUUUUUGUCAAUCAUAUUUUUAGGUUAAAAUAUAUUUUCCGUCUCUAUAAAUAUCAAAAAAUCCAAAAUUCAUCCCUAUAAAAUUGAAAUGUGUGUCUUUUUUUGGUUUGGAAUUAAGCUUUGGUGAAUAUGAGCCUACAUGGUUUAAAACUUAAAUUAUAAGCUAAAAUAUAUUUUUCAUCCCUAUAAAUAUCAAAAGGUUCAAAUCCAUCUUUAUAAAAUUUUGAGUCUUUUUUUCAUCCUUGAAAAAUUGAAAUUUAUUAUUUUUGGUCGGAAGUAGGUUCAGAUUUACUCAGUUUGAUCGACGACAGUGAUUUAUGGGGGUUAAAAUCACCACAAAAUGUAAAAAGAAAAACCCACACAUUUGUAAAUCUCUCCUCCCUAACUUUCUUCAUCUUCUUUGUCCACCAAGCUAAUAUGAGAGAGAUGAAUUUGAGAGUUUGUUGACAAUGUUUGAUUAUGAUAGAACACUUGAAUUGAUAUUUAUAGUGUUAAGUUCGAGAAUGAAGGUGUUAGGCUUUUGGAAGGAAGAAAAAUUUAAAAAAAUUAUUUAUUUAAAUUCGAAGAAGAUAAAGAAAGUUAGAGAAUAAUGAGUUUAAGAAAUAAAAACUUAUAAAUUUGUGUAAUUUUUUUUUUCUGGAUUUUGUGAUUAUUUUUAUUCCCAAAUUUCACUUUUUUGAGAACCAAAAAAAACUCAAUUUUACAAGAAUGAAUUCUAAACAUUUCAAUAUUUAUAAAGAUAAAAAAAUAUAUUUUAGCAUAUAAUUUAAGUUUUAAAAAAUUCUCAAAUUCGUCUUAGAUCCAGACCAAAAAAUAACAUAUUUAAAUUUUAUAAGGAUGAAAAAUAUAUCAUAAAAAUUACACGGAUUUCAAAUUUUCUAAUAUGUAUAAGAACGAAAAAUAUAUUUUAAUAUAUUUUUAUUAAUAUAAUAAUUUUAUUUUAUCAUUAUACUAUAAAGAUACAAUCAAAUUUGUUUAUUUAAACGUAUAUUAUCCAUUAAUACCAUGCCAUUUAUAAUUAUAUUUGUAUACUUAAAUUUUAAAUUUAUUAAUGAUUUUAAUUAUGGUGGAUUAAGACAAAACAUCAAAAAAUAAUUAAAAAAAUGUAAAACAAAAUAAAUACAACAUCCAAAACAAAUUUUCCAAAAAAAAAACAUAUAAAACGGAUUAAAAUCUAAAUAAUAUUAAUGAAUAAAAUAUAAUAUUUUACAGAUUCAUAUUACACACCACGUAAAACAUAAUAAAUUUUUUAAAAGAAUAAUCUUAUCUAAUAGACCCAAUAAUUUUUUAAAACAUGAAUAAAUAAAAGAAAAAGAACUAAUGUGUUAUUAACUACUGAUUGAUUGUAAUAUGAACUCAUUGAUCUUUUGCCAUUUGUGUGUUUAAUCAUGUGAUAAAAUAACAAAAAAAGAAUUAAUGAAAAAACUCAAAUGAAUGUAAAAAAAAAAAAACUUUGAACUUUUCUCCCUGCAAGUACGACACCGAAAACUUUGAAUUUUUCUCCCUAUUUGAACGCCUUUAUCACCUCCUCUUCCAUUUCUGUCUCUUGUAAUGAAUAAUUCACACCAAAACUCAAUGAACAUACCAUUGUUAAGUAUGAUCCUAUAAAAAACCAACAACAAACUCAAUUACCGAUAAAAGCACAUGUUUAAAUAGAAUAAGAAUAAUAUAAUAUUAGAAAUUAUUAUUCUCUAUUCAACUUCUAAAACGUGCAUAUUAGAAUAUAGAAAAUUACCUAAUUAUAUGAAUUAAGAGUGUAUUAAAUGUAUUUUAUGAAUUAAAACUGUUAAUUUUUAUUAUUGAUUAAAACUGCUAAUUAAUAUAUCAUUAAUGUAAAUAACUAAUUUCUCUAUUAAUGUGAAAUUACUCUUCUUUAAAAUAAAAAUAUUUUAUUUACUUUUUUUCCCAUACAAUUAUUAAUUUAACUCCCAUUUAUGAGACAAAAUAAUAUUUACAAAAAUGUCCCCAACUCACUUUCUUUUAUAUAUUAUAUAUAUAAAGAUAUGUAAAAAAAAUCUCAUCCUUCUCCUUUUAUAUAUAUAGAUGCUAACUUCUCAUUUUCAGACACAAUUUUUGAAUAUACUUUUUUAUCUAUUAAAGUCUAUUAAAAUAGUAUAUUUUUAUGAAUCUUAUUUUUUAUUUAACUUUUUUUUUUAAUUUUAUAAAUUUAAAUAAAUUUUUACACGUUAGAAAAAAUGUGUAAUGUUUUCAUAUACUAGUAAUCACAACGGAAAAUAACGCUUCAUUUCAUCAACGGAUAAAAGUUUUGUAGAAAUUGAUUUCCUUUGUAUACACUUAUGGUUUAAUUAUAUUUUUGGUUUUGAAAAUUAAGGGUGCAUUUAAUUUUAGUCUCUUAAAUUUAAAAACAAAUAUUUUGGUCUUUUAAAUUUAAAAAGUUACAAUUUUCAUCCCUCAAAGUUUAUUUUGGGUUUUGUUAUGUCCUAGUGUUAGGUAACUUGUUGUGAGCGAGAGGAUGAAGAUGAACGCAUUGGAUUCGAGGUCAAGGCACCUCCUGAAAUAAACUAAGUUCUACGCAAAUGCUUCUCUGAUUUUAUUCAUGUAUUCGAUAUCCUAUUUAUACACUGCCUUUUGUAACAGAUUAUAACAUAUCAGUAACAAACUUUGUAGGCCAAAAUCACACCAAGUCCUUCAAAUAGGUAGGGCGCGCAGUGUUUCUCUUGGGCCUUCCAGCAUGGGCUUCAGGUAAUGUGUUGAUCUCUUCUACGUUCCUGUUGCUGUUGCUGUUGCUGUUGCUGUUGCUAUCAUAACUCAGGUUUAAGAGGGAAGGUGUGUACCUGCAAAAGGCAUUCUAGUUUUCAACCCUGAAGUUGUAAGGUUUGCACUGGUAUAGUGCAGGCAUCAAAGAUGCAUAGAUGAGUGGUUAAAAGUUAAAACCCUUUAUUUGGCAAUGAGUGGUUGAUCCACUGUUUUACAGUUGUACACGUACUUGCUUUUUCUGUAUUUUUUAGCAAUUUAUUCCAACAUUAGCACUUAAAAUACCCUAGUUGUAACUUGUAAGCCUUUUCAUCUAUAGAUUGGUUUAAUGAUGUGAAACAGAGCUAUAAAGUUGAAGGAUGUCAACUUACAUAUAAAGAGCUAAGCGACUUCAUUUAUAAGACUGUCCUGCUGAGAAAGUUGACUUACUUGCACCGGAGUGAAGGAGACCAGGUGGCUUCUACUAGUAUUGGAAAAACAGAAACUCUUCUUGUUCGGAAAUUACCAAUUGCAGAUCCAAAGUAAUCAUACUCAUUGUGCAACAGUUCUUUGGAUUGUAGAAUUGUUAACUGCUAUUGUGAGUUGGCUGAUAUGGUCCAUUUUAUGCUUAGGAUGUGUCAUUCUCCUGAAAUGCAAUAUUUAUUCCUUGCUUUUCAUAUGAAAAAUCUUUAAACAGAUGCUUUUCUCAUCUUGAUUUCAUAUAUUACAUAAUAAUUGAAUCUAGAGUUUAUAACUGUUGAACUCAGAAAAUAAACACAUUGAAUUCUGAAUAAAUCAUAGAAUCUAUCUGUUUUUUUGGCCAAAUUUAAGUGCAAACAUCAACAAACACAAGGUUUCCCCCUAACAAGUAACAAGGAGUUUUCUCCUUCAAAACACCGUAAAUAACAAUUUGACACCUUAACCGCCACAUCCUAAAACAAAACUGCCAAUACAUAAUUGAAACCAACAUAACUGCCUAAUAACUGUCCUAAUGCAGAAUUAACACAAACACAGCUACCUAAUAACUGGCUGUCAAUUUUUUAUUGUAACAAAAGGAUUGAUUUGUGUUAGCAAGUUAGUAUAUUGAUAUCACAUAUAGAUUUGACUGUUUGUAAGUUACUAAAAGUCUCUCAUUUUGAGAAACUCCUACCAUGUCUUAGUUUGAGCACUAGUUUACUAUGAUUUAUCAGUUCUGAAGUUAAAAUUUAAAACAUAAGGUGGUUCUUGCCUAUGAUGAUUUAUAUUUUAAUCGUUGUAAAGCUCCAUUUGAGGCUUUUGGUCUUGCAGAUGUUACUUUUUUAAAAAAUAUAUAUGGUAGGUGGCACCAACAAUGUGAUAAACUUCAUGCUUAUGCCUGUGUUAUUUGUAGAUUUUUUUAAAAUAGGUUUUCUUUUUACAUUUUGUAAUCUGGUCGGUGAUAUGGUCUAUGGAUGGUAUAAUGAGUUCUGAUAAUCCUCCCCUUCCUCUCCCAAAAAAUGUUGUUGACUGACUAUCAGUUUGCAAAUUUAGAAAUCAUUGCUCACUUCUGUUUUUUAUUUUUAUUUUUAGACUUCCACUAAAAUUAGAGAGAUUUUGACUGACGAUUGAAUUUUUCAAAUGGUGUUCAUCAAUCAAUGCAAUCUCAAAUGCUGUGCAUGUUUCUUUGACAGGCAUGUUUUUGUAGGAGAUUUAGUGGUCUUGAAAAACCCUCUGAAGGCAGAUAACUAUCUUGUCAGGCAAUUAACUGUAUUGAAGGUUAUGAAAUGGUAUCAACUGAUGAAAAGGAUGAACCCUUUUUUUCUUGAGAAGGAUCAGUGUUGGGUAGAUGCUGAAAAUAAAAGUUUAAAACCCAAGGUAAGACUGCUCUAUUUUCCUGGUCUCUCUAUAUAUGGAGCAUAUCAAUUGGCAUUAGCAUUUUAUUGCAAGAGAGAAGCUAAUGCUGAUUAUUUAAGAAGUUUUAUAUAGUAAAAUAUCAUGACACCAAGCAAUAAGUUACCAUUGACGUACAAGUAUACAAGGUUACUUGUUGGAAAAUAAAACAACAGCUUUCUGUUUUUAAAAUAAUUAAAAUUAGGCAUGAUUUGGUAAUUUAAUGAUAUUGAAAACCUCUGGAAUUCCAAAUACUAAUGUUUUUCUUUCUCUCUUUUUAGUUUUCUUCCUUUGUCUCUUUAAUUAUAUUUUUUUUCUCUACUAAUAAGGAUAUUAAAUCUGUGUUACUUCUUUACCAAAAACUCUGUUAAACUCAUGGGGUUUUGUGCAUGUGUCGCUCUUACAUGAUUUAUAAAAGGACAACAUGGUGUCAUUUGAUCUAUGUAGCCAAUCCCCACCUAAUGAAAGAAACUUUUGCUGCUGUUGUUAUUUUGUUUCCUCAACAUCUAGCUGCUUUGAAAUUGUGUAGUAUCUGUAAGCUCUAAAGUCUAAGGUGAAUGUCUCCAUAAAGACUAGUCGAUUAUUUGGUCCAGUUAAUAUGACAGACAUUGUAGGCAGAGUCAUAUAUCGCCUGCGAACCUGUGUAGAGACCAUCACUGUGUACGGAACAGGUGAACUAAAUUAGUAAAUUUCUAUCUUAUUUCUUAUGUAAAAUGGUAUGUGGAAGGUUUUUUUUUUUCUUUAAAAAAAAUAUUGAUAUAAUUUACUCCUUUGCCAGUCAUUCCAGCAUGCUAAAGGAUUGGCCCGUGUUGGCAGUGGAACUUGAUGUUGAGGAGAUGUCAAAGAAUCACAAGGCCUAGGCCUGUUUGGUUUACAUUCCUGUCAACCCAAAUGGGAAAACGUGCUUCCCAUGAAUGCACUUUUCUAUCAAGUGAAUCACAACAUAUACUUAUGUCAAAACAAGCGAAUCUCCUGAUCAUCAUUAACUAGAUAGUUUUGUACGUAUCCCCUGUUUGAGGCAGAGCAAUAAUAGGAUGUUACUUUUUUGCAAGAGAAUGUGAUGGUGGUGUUAUCAGUUGUGUGAUUUCUUUAAUUUAUACAUAUUAGAUGUUUGACUUUUUCUUUAAAGCCCAAGGAUAAAUUGCUUGUUUGAUGUAUAAAUAGUAAUAGUAUAUUUUUCUAUAAUAUAUAUCGUUUUGUUAAGCUUAAUAUUUUAUCAAUAUCAAAUAAAAAAAAUUGUACUUCAUAUCUUAAAAGUAAAAAAGCAUGCGAUUCUUUACUUUUUUAAAUUUUGUAGUGUAUGCUUGGGAGAAUUUAUUUUCAACAAAUAAUGGCUUAUAUUUUGGUUUUUUUUAUUAUAAUAAGUUAUAUUAAACUUGGGAGUAUGAGAUAAAGUUGUGUAUGUAUAAAAAGUUGUCUUUGAAUAAGCGUUACUUUUAGUUGAACGUCAAUCUAGUAUAGGAUUCAGUUGAACGUGCAUUAGAAAGUGUCUUAAGUAAAACAAACACACUAGUGUGUGCUUAGAUUGUUGUGUGAGAGGUACCAAAUGUUCAUUUGUGCAUUUCAAUGCACAAAAGACAAGUAACAACUAACAAUACUAUUAGAUUAAAUGUGAGUUAUAUUCAACUGAAUGGUUAUUCAAACACACCUCAAGCGUCUGUUUGGAAUUAGAGACGAAUGGAUGUUUGCCAAAGGAGUCAUUUGUAUCUUUCUUCCAGCAGGUUUGGAGGUGUGUGAAUGGUUUUUAAAACAUGUUUUUAAAUCAUUUAUUGUUGACUAACUAAAAGAUAUUUCUGACUCAACCACUUAGGGAUUAUAGAUAUUUCAUUUGGUUUAAUUUUUUUUAGACUUAAUUGUCCUUAAAAUGGAAAAUUGAGUUAAUUAGAAUGUUUAAAAACUAUAAACUUUUAAAAAUGUAAUUUUUAAAAGAAUAUAUUUUAAAAAAAUGUUUUUGGAAAAGCCAGUUUCAAGAUUUUUUUUAUACUUUUAUUUCUCCCCUUAUUCGAAAACAUAAAAUCUAAAAGAAAAAUGACUGUAAUUUAACUACUUGAAAGGAUUAAAAUGAAUGUUCCACACUUUCACUCGUUUUUUUAGGCUUAAUGAUAAUAACAAAGAAAAAUAAAAGGUUCCUGCCCGAGCGAGAAUUUCAGUUGGUCCCUGAUGAAAAUAAUGAUUCCCGAGAAUGUCCCUUAUAUAUGACUAUGGGACACGACACGGGUAACUAGCAACAAGAAAAAACCUGCGACUGCUAGUGAGUGCAAAUUGAAGCAAAGGUUGCUGCAACCGCCGUUGAGUGAGGGCGGUUGGGUUACGAUGUUGCAAGCAAUGCAUCUGAUGAUGGCCAACACUUACAACGUUGCCGGUGAGCGUCUUUCUCUGUCACCUUCAUCCUUUGAACCAUACCAUAACCCUUCUUCACUCUCUUCUUUCAUUUUCCUCCACUCUAGCCUUUAGGUUUUUUUUUUUUCCUUAUGUUUCUUUUCAGUUUGCCUCCUAUGAUAGCUAGCUUUUGAGACAUGGAUCGUUUUCAGCUUCUUUUUCCGUCAUGAUUGAAAAAAAAUCAAACUGCUGUUCUGUAAAUAACCACUCUGCAAUUAAAUUGUGCCAUUUUACUGAAGCACUAGUAAUAUAUAUCCUGGAUCAUACUCUCUAUCCGCUACUGAGAUAAACUUGAAAUCAUGAUCAUUUGAAUUCCUAAAACAAUUGUGAUGUAUGUAUCAUUGCUCAAUUCAGAGAUUGAUUACUUAGUGCCUUAUCCUAGGUUUCUAUGAUGGAUUGUGUUGCUUUCUGUCAUACAUAAAUAAGGACAAAACUUAGAUGCAGUUCUACAAGUGUUUUUUGUUGAUGUUGUCCAAUUAGAAUUGGAGUUUCACUUCAGUAAUUCGGGUAUAAAAAGGUUUUCAAUAAAUGUCAAAUAGAUUACCAAGGUGGAACUCCAAUCCUGAUUGAAGAACAACAGCAAAAGUACUCAUGGAAUUGCAUCUAAGUUUUGUCCAAUAAAUAUGGCUAUAUGUUUAUUAUAUUUUUUCUGUUCAUUUUAUUUUACUUCUCUCUUUAUGGUUUUUGAAGUGGUUUUGGUCAUACCGUGGGAUGUGGAGUGGCAGAAGGUAGGUUUCUUCCAUGUUUGGGUGUUUCUGGAAGAACAGCUUCUGUGUUUUCUUGCUCCUCUCAGGGUUACCACAGAAUUCAUUCACAUGUCACAAUUAGAGGGCUAAAGUGUUCUUCUAGGGGUGCAUGUGCAUCUUUUGUGUGUGAAGCGAGGAGGAACCCUGAAUCUUUCUCUAGGCAAAACAAGCAUGGAUUUUCCAGAAGCAGGAAGUGGCUCAAUGUAGACAGAGACAGCUUUGAGAACAUUGAAAAAGACAUGUUAUCAUUGAAAAAUGGUUCAUUGGUAUCUCAUUCUAGCACACUAAAAAACCAUGCCAAUGCCAAUGCUGCCCCUAGGCCUAAAGAGAAGGAGAUUAUUACACUGUUUAAGAAGGUUCAGGCUCGGCUAAGAGAGAGAGCUACUACUAUUAAGGAAAUAAAGAAAGUUGAAGCAUCCCAAGCACAGUCUAAAUAGAAUGGUUCUGUUAAUUCUCUCCUCAAGCUACUGAGGAAACACUCAGUUGAGCAAGUAAAGAGAAGUAGUGGUGUUAACAGAGGGGAAAACGAUAGUUUGGACUGGUUGCAAGAUUGUGGUCAAGACAAUGAAAGUCAAAGCACAAAAUUUCCUGAUUUAAAUGGUACUCCUAAUAAUGAGUCUCAAGAAACUAACAUUUCAUUAGUUAUCAGGCCUCCAUCUAAUUUCCAACGACGGUCUUCUUUUUUUCGGUUAAAGUAUCAACCUGUCUCUAACGACGAUAAGGAUGUGAAUGCAGUCCCCUGAGUAAUGUGGUUACAGAGAAAGAUCAGGAUCAAAUCGGCAUCAAGCUUGAUCCUGAGCCAGAGCAUGACUCUGAACUGGAACUUGAUCCAAAGGAUAAGCCCUUGUUCCCCGAAGUGGGGAUUGCGAUUUCACAUGAUGAUGAUUAUCUUGAUUCUGAACAAAUAUAUAAUGAUGAACAUGGGGAGGACCAACAAGUGGAACAACAUGAGGAUUUGAGUACAAUGAAGCUGUCUGAACUAAUGGCACUUGCGAAGUCUCGUGGCCUCAAAGGGUUUUCAAUAAUGAAGAAGAGUGAGCUCAUGGAGUUGCUAACUGGAAGCUGAUUUGGACCAUAAGUUAGAGAAGCAAAAUCAAGGAACAACAGAUUUUACCAAUAUCUGUUUUUUACCUGUGAAUUUAUCUGGUUUAUUUUUUCAUCGUUUUUAAUUUAAUUCCUUCAAAUACUUGAGGGUUUGUGGAUCAUUAAAUAGAAUAACCAUGCUAUUAUUCAGGCCUCGGAGGAUUUUGAAUUUGUAACUGUAUUCCCACGAUGAGAUUUUUGAAUUUUUUUUUACUGAUUAAAAGUACACCAUUUCAGUAUGAUAAUGCUUCGGGACUAUUAAUCAUUGUUAACCGUAUUGUAUAGCUAUAAUCCUUAUCAGGCCAUUGUUAACCAUUUUGUUUACAUAUCCAGCAAAAAUAAAUAAAUAAAUAAAUGUAGUAAUACUUUUUUUUUUAUCAAUUUUUAUUUUUUGAAAAUAAUUAUAUUCCUUAAACAAAAACGAACAUUGGAUCUGAAAGCUAUAUAGCUUAGCAAAACAGGACCGAACGGACUACAUGGGUAGCAAAAUAUUUAUGACAAAAGGGAUCUAUAUAUGCUAUUCAUAAUCCCUUUUUGCUCUUCACACUCUCCAUUUUCUAUUUUUUGUUUUUUGAUAUUCCUAAAAUAUCACUAUUCCCUCUCACUUUCCUACCCUCACUUUUCAUAUAUAUUACAGAAAUUAGUCUCUCUAAUAUAGUUAUGUUUUAAUAAAUUAUUAUAUUACGAAAAUUAAUUUCCAUAAAAUGUUUUUUGUCAAUUUUUUUAACAGAAAAAUAGGUAGGCAACACAAAAAGCAAAAAAGUGGGGUGUAAAUGACACAAACCCAACAAACAAGGCCGAAACUAUUUCUGAGUAGUUUAUUUUAACAAAGCUCUCUUUUCCCCUGCAUCCCAAAAAUCUCAACCUACAUCCCUUUUCACCCCCUCAUAGUGGAAAGAUUAAUUGGAAUGAAGGUUUUACAUUUCAAAUUACCUAAAAGAUUGUUAGGGUGAAAGAAAAAUAAAUUAGAAAAGCUCACUUACAAAAAAGAUGAUUAAUUAAAAUUAGGAGCUCAUAGUUUUAACUUCCCACUUUGUUUUCCUUCGUUUAAAAAAAGUUGUCCUUCAUCGCCAAAAAAAAAAGAUGUUUUCCUUC